AGGAAAAUGAUCCUCAUGCACUGGGAGUGUUGCUGUGAAGGACAUUUCCUGGUAUUUCCCUGAAUGACAUUGAUGUACGUGCAAGAGGAUGAUGUAACACUUCAUGUUAGAGAUUUAAAAUCUGCGUGUCAAAUGUGAGCCAACAGGCAAAAGUGACAUCAGACAGACUGAGUCAUUGGAAAACUGGAGAGGGUGCAGAAAAGUGCCACAGAGAGGAUUUCAGGGCUGAAGAAAGUGCUUAAUGGUAAAAGACUUAAAGCACUCGAUCUGCCUAGCUUACUGGAAAGAAGACUGAGACGUGACAUGAGUGUAAUGUCGAAAAAUUGAUAUCUGCAAGCUGACGUCAAGCAAACUCAAGUGAGAAUUUAGGAGUUUUUUUUUUAAAUAGCAAGAGUGGCUGACGGCUAUCUUUCAAGGCACAAAGUGGAUAUGGUCUUUUUCUGAUAUUUUCAAAGCAAGAGCAGACGACCUGUUGUAACAAAAAACAAGUCAGUGCAUCUAAUGCAGGGGCAAUGUCACAUGAUGAGUUGUACUAUAUCAAGGGACUUUCUCUAGCCUUCAAUGCUGUGAGUCUAUACACACCAGCAGAGACAUUUCGUAAGGAUUUAGGAGCAGGAACGUACACCUGUGCAAAGAAAUAAUCAAGUAAUAACAAGUCUAACACAUUUCAUGGGCUCUCUAGACCCAGGCCAGGUGUGCAGAUAUCACACAUUCACAUAUAUCUAAUAAUGUAUUAUUUUAAAAGAUAGAGAUCGAGUUUAUGUGCUGAUGGACCUGCAUGAAACCACCAAAAGGCAGUGCUCUACCAGUAGGUUUGUCACCCCUUGCCUGCCUUCUGGCACAAAAUAGCUAAUUCCUCAGAGCUCUGUGCCUCUGCUCUCUGGUAAAGGAGAAGCAGUGAUCCCACCUCCAGGCAUCUUUUACCUGGAACUCUGUUUUAUUGACAGUGUGAAUAAGACAGUCCUGGACUGGAGUGGGUUGCAGGCAGAAUAUUAGGCUGAAGCUUCACCCCAAGCCUCUUUUUCUGAAGCAGUCCUGCCUCAACAAUUGAUUCCCACAGGAAAUGCUGACAGUCACUUGUCCUGCUGCUCACACAGCUUCCUGCCUCUGCAGCCAUACAUGGCCACCACAGCAGUUCCCACACAUGUAUCCUAUGUGUUGUUUGCAUCCUACAAGCCUGUUCCUCUCUCACCCCUCCAAAAAGUUCAACAACUGUCAAAACGAUGAAAAAACACAAGCUGUUUCAAGACUUUACCACCACACAGUGCCUCCAAUUACAGCUCAGUGUAAUGCAGAAGGAAGAGAAAGCAGGGGCUCUAUCCCAUUUACUUCAGCUUUAGCAUGUUCUUGGGGGUCUCCCAUCUAAGUUCGGACAAAGCACAUCUCAGCCUACCCUAAUGACAUCCUAGCCCCUGAUGAAAGCUGGGAGCUAAAUGCUAUAAAAUCAAAGAGCGUAGACUGAUUCUGUGCAGGAUGUCAGAGUGAAGGCUCAGCACAAUCCCUUCUGCUCUUAAAUGUAUUUAUUAGCCCAUGAAACGUAACUACCAGGUGUCUGUGUUGUUACUAAUUUUACAGAUGGAUGUAACCAGUUCUGAUACGAAAUAUUUUCAUGCUCGGGUCUUCCCUACUGCUCCCUGCAGUCUCUCCAGCCCCCCUUGCUGUGGAUCAGCAGCCGCCUUCCUCUGUGGGAGCGUUAUAGCAUUUUCAGUCUAUACUAAGCAUCCUCUGUAAAAUCUCAGCUCAGGUGACUGAGUCAGGCUCUGCAAAGUAACUCCCUCCAGUAGAGCUCACAAUGCUUCAUGUGAUGCAUGAAGAGAUGGCACAUUUUUGUGUAUCCAUCUCCUAAUUAUUUACUUGAGGCAGUCUCUCAACUGUCUGUAGCUAGCUGGGGUUUACAGCCUAGGGUCUGGCCUUCCCUCACACUCUCCACCAACUGCAAGGUAAAUGUGCCUCCAGGUGGUCCUGGUGGUUUCCCUGAGAACACUGUUCUCUAGGGCAAUUUCAGUACAAACCUCUAUGAAAUGCAUCCAUUUUAUUCAUUGGCCAUAUAUAUAAGUGAAGAACGUCACUGAUGGUAUUUCAGUCUAUGUAUCUGCACCAUAACUACUACAACUUCUCCAUAUGAGAGACACUGAUAACUCAACAGCAAGCCGAAUAAAAAAAGACACUGAGCAGCAUUAUUAAUUGAUAACUCAAAUGCCAAAAGUUUGGGGGACAUUGAAAUUGUCCCUGAUGGCAAAGCCUGGACAGCUAGAUAGUCUCAGGGACUUAGGUAGAGAUUGAUCCUUUGGCUGAUGACCUGCCUUUUGGGCUUGCAGUGAUGCUGGUAAUUAACUCUAAACAGGAAAUUGUCCCACUGAUCAACUCAGCAGCUUAAAAUGAAACACAAGCUAAAUAAUUUGCUGGGAAGGAUGUAAUCUGAGGAACUUCUUUAUCUUUAAAAUAGCUGAUAGAUCCAGGAUGUGGUGGUAUGAUAUGAAGGUGACUUAUUUCUCAAUCUGUGAAGAUAAAUUGGUCUUCCUCUUUUCUUUCGAUAAAAAGAAGUCUGAUGUGGGUAUGUUAUCUUCCAGACGUGGAAAUCUAGAAAACAAGACAAAAUAUGUUGUCAUAUCUCUUUACUUCUCUUUGCAACAUUGCUUUCUGCUUAGGAUUUCUAGAUACCUACUCUAUCAAUGUGGAGGUAGUGUAAAAACAAUUUCUGAUACUGGAUUUUAUCAAAACAGUUAAGAAAAAGUACUGAAAACAUCACAUGCAUUUUGAAUUUUAAGAAUAAAUACUGCUUAAAUUGAAUCUAUCUCCACCAUUACCUUCCUAACCAGAACUAAGUAACAUUCAAAUAGUGCCAAUGUAAUAAAUAUUCACUAAACAGGAACAUAACUCAGAGUUCUCCUACCUGGCUGCAGCUGUCUGGUACUCUUCAGAGGAGGAGCCAUCUUCUCAUCUUCUCUCCUCUUCAGGAGGAAGAGUCAUCCACCACAUUUUAGCUUCUCCUAAAACUGCAAGCCUAUCUUUGCUAUG